rnacentral:rRNA from 1 species
UCGAACGAGCGAGAGAGAGCUUGCUUUCUCGAGCGAGUGGCGAACGGGUGAGUAACGCGUGAGGAACCUGCCUCAAAGAGGGGGACAACAGUUGGAAACGACUGCUAAUACCGCAUAAGCCCACGGGUCGGCAUCGACCAGAGGGAAAAGGAGCAAUCCGCUUUGAGAUGGCCUCGCGUCCGAUUAGCUAGUUGGUGAGGUAACGGCCCACCAAGGCAACGAUCGGUAGCCGGACUGAGAGGUUGAACGGCCACAUUGGGACUGAGACACGGCCCAGACUCCUACGGGAGGCAGCAGUGGGGAAUAUUGCACAAUGGGGGAAACCCUGAUGCAGCGACGCCGCGUGGAGGAAGAAGGUCUUCGGAUUGUAAACUCCUGUUGUUGGGGAAGAUAAUGACGGUACCCAACAAGGAAGUGACGGCUAACUACGUGCCAGCAGCCGCGGUAAAACGUAGGUCACAAGCGUUGUCCGGAAUUACUGGGUGUAAAGGGAGCGCAGGCGGGAAGACAAGUUGGAAGUGAAAUCUAUGGGCUCAACCCAUAAACUGCUUUCAAAACUGUUUUUCUUGAGUAGUGCAGAGGUAGGCGGAAUUCCCGGUGUAGCGGUGGAAUGCGUAGAUAUCGGGAGGAACACCAGUGGCGAAGGCGG